UACGGCUAUAUAGCGUUGAAACACCGGUUUCCGUACGAUCACCGAAGUUAAGCAACGUUGAGCCUGGUCAGUAUCUAGAUGUGUAAUGGCGUUGGAAUACCACGGUCUGU